UCUCCGUUGGUGAACCAGCGGAGGGAUCAUUGCUGGAACUGUGUCCGCAAGGACACAACCCCAGAUACCCUUUGUGAACUUAUACCUUUUUUAUCGUUGCCUCGGCGCUGAGCUGGGGGCUUCUCGAAGCCCUCCCGCAUUCUUUCGAGAACACGGAGCAAGCCCGCCGACGGCCCUUUAAACUCUGUUUUUAUUACGUAUCUCUUCUGAGUUAUUCAAAACGAAUGAAUCAAAACUUUCAACAACGGAUCUCUUGGUUCUGGCAUCGAUGAAGAACGCAGC
rnacentral:misc_RNA from 1 species